rnacentral:tRNA from 1 species
AGUUUAGCGGUAGAAUUCUCACCUUCCAUGUGGGAGACCUGGGUUCGAUUCCCAG